CCGAGCGGCGCACCUGUUGGCUGGCGCCCCGGGCCCCGCCCGCCACCCCGAGCGCCCGGCCCGGCGAGGGCGAAGGCAGGAGGGACAGUGCGAGCGGGGGGCACCGGGUGGCGGCGGCGGCGGCCCCGGGAUCACCAUGGCCGAGCUGCUCUGGAGCCUGCAGGAUUCCCAGCUCGUCGCCCGCUUCCAGCGCCGCUGCGGGCUCUUCCCCGCGCCGGAUGAAGGCCCCGGCGAGCCCUGUGCUAGCCCCGCGGAGGGCGCGGCGCGGGCGCCCGGGCUCGGGCAUCUCCCCGCGGCCAAAGGCAGGGGCGCCGGGGAGCCGGCCAAUGGGCUGCGGAGAGUCGCGGUCCCGCAGGCUUAUGUACAGAAGUACAUUGUGAAGAAUUAUUUCUACUAUUACCUAUUCAGAUUUUCAGCCGCUUUGGGACAAGAAGUGUUCUACAUCACAUUCCUUCCAUUCACUCACUGGAAUAUUGAUCCUUAUUUGUCCAGAAGACUGACCAUCAUAUGGGUUUUGGUGAUGUAUAUUGGCCAGGUGGCCAAGGAUGUCUUGAAGUGGCCCCGCCCCUUUUCCCCUCCUGUUGUGAAACUGGAGAAGAGAGUGAUUGCUGAAUAUGGGAUGCCGUCCACCCACGCCAUGGCAGCCACCGCCAUCUCCUUCACCCUCCUCAUCUCUACCAUGGACAGAUACCAGUAUCCCUUUGUUUUGGGACUGAUGAUGGCUGUGGUGUUUUCCACGUUGGUGAGUCUCAGCAGACUUUACACUGGGAUGCACACAGUCCUGGAUGUGCUGGGUGGUAUCCUGAUCACCGCCAUCCUCAUCGUCCUCACCUACCCCGCCUGGACCCUUAUCGAUCGCCUGGACUCGGCCAGCCCCCUCUUCCCUGUGUGUGUCCUGGUGGUGCCAUUCUUCUUGUGUUACAAUUACCCCGUGUCCGAUUACUACAGCCCGACCAGAGCGGACACCACCACCAUUAUGGCUGCCGGGGCUGGGGUGACCAUAGGAUUCUGGAUCAACCAUUUUUUCCAGCUCGUGUCCAAGCCCACGGACUCUCUCCCUGUUAUUCAGAACAUCCCGCCCCUCACCAGGGACCUGUUAGUUUUGGGUCUGACCAGAUUUACGGUGGGAAUUGUGCUGCUCCUCCUGGUUCGUCAACUUGUACAGAAUCUCUCGCUGCAAGUGCUGUACUCCUGGUUCAAGGUGGUCACCAGAAACAAGGAGGCCAGGCGGAGACUGGAGAUUGAAGUGCCUUACAAGUUUGUCACCUACACGUCAGUUGGCAUCUGUGCUACCACCUUCGUGCCAAUGCUACACAGGUUUCUGGGAUUACUGUGAGCCUCAAGUGGUUGGAAAUUAGCUCACUGGACAUGAGAGCAAGACAUCAAAAAGUUGUUGAGUGGGGAAGUUUUGACAACACAUUUUUCUUUAAAAAAAAAAAAUGCCCUAAGUCACAUGUCUGUUUUGCUGGUACCUGAGAGAAAUGUUGCUGCUUUAUGGAAGGAAAAAUGGUCUCAUGGUGACCACUAGCCUGUAAGCGUCAUGUUGCAGAUGAAGCCAGGCAAACCCGCAGCUGAGUUCUUUAAGGCGCCUCACCCUGUCCAUUACUUGGACUUUGGACCAGUCCUGGGCUGGCAGGAGUUGUGGCCUGGCUUAGGAACGGCCACAAGCCCCCCUGGGUUCUGGAGAGCCUAAGGAGACGGGCAUGAUCCAGGAGGCUGGAUGUCGGGCGUUCCUUUUCAGUUGUGACCUUGGCCAGCACUGAGCCUCAUUUCCAAAACUGGAAUGUUGGCCCAAGAGAAAACGUGGCGCCACGUAAAACUGCAUUCCUUGGACAGGGCGACUUUCUUGUCACGAUGAUCACAUUAGACAGUGCCUGCUCCGGGGGGGAAGAGCACCGGGAACCUCGCUGGGAAGCAGGAAAGGUGGGGGCAAAGCUGGCGAGGUCACGGGCAAGAGCCUGCUUUCCUUAUGCAUCCUGGUCUCUGUCGGGUGCAUACUGAACCGGGAUCCACUCCUCGUUUGUACACUUUGCAGGAUUCCAGGCACCAUUUCUGUCCUCUUCUGACCCAUGAACCCAACUGGCUGCUCCCAUCUCAUCUCAUCUGGGUUCCUUUGAGUGUCCUGCUCUCUCCUGCGUCAGAGUGACUUGGGACAAGCCCUCUGCUCUUCUUCAGCUUUCUUGCUUCCUUACAAACUGGGAAGACGGUGUCGUCUGCCUGUGAAAGUGGAUCAAUAGAAGAACAGAUGAACACAAUCGUUCCUGGGGCCUGACAAAGAGGGACUAGCCCUCCCUCCCUGACACUCGUCCUCCACUUCUUAGUUACUUCUCCUAAAUCUAUUUUCUCAUCUGCUGAAUAGCAUCAGCGGCUCCCUUUCCAUCUUCCCACCUCUUACCUCUUGGCAGUUUUAAGGGUAAUUAAUGCAAGAACAACAUCAGCCUCUCUUAGGAAAACAAGCCAACAAAAUACAACACCUUUAAAUCUCGGGGAGAGUCCUUAGACUUAGGAAGGUGGUCAUUAUGCAGACAACCCCCUGCAGGGGUUCCUCUUCAGUUCUUAAGAAUGAGGAGGAAAAGGUAUCAACAAUGUUCUUAAAAGUGAGUAGCAACAUGUAAUUAACAAAGUGUCUUUUGCGUGUAGUGCCUGAGCUGCUGAGCCAAUGAUUUAUAACCCUCGUGCAUCCUCACCAUGCACACACUUUGGGGGAAAAUUAGCCUGCCUGGAGAGUAAGGCUCUUACCUCUGCAUCCAGUGUGAAAACCGAACACCCGUUUCUCCUGAUUUUGAAUACACACCCUGGCCUUUCGGUUGUGAUGAUCUUUAGUAUUUGACUUAAUGCUCCAGUUUAUUGAGAAGAAUAAUUGUAAGACAUCCUGUUUCUCCUUCAAAUUCUUCUGAGAUUUUUCAUAGUUAGAAGGCUGGGGUCAAAAUGACUUGCCGUUUGCCUGUUUUUAGAUCAUACUCUGACCAGUAUUUGUGGCACCGUGAUGGGGAGAUGCCCCAGCUCACGGGCACCCCUUCCCUAGGCCGCCCCACAAUGCAGUGCAUGGGGCACUUCCCUGUACCUCCGUCCCCACAGGCUGCCAAACCCGAGGUCACAGUGCUAGCUAAUAUUUACGCAAAAUGAUUUUAGUUGAUUUCUCUGAAGCCAACUAGCAAAAGGAUCAGCCUUUUCCACUUGUAUCUUUUGAGAAGAAGGGCCAUAAUUAUUGUCACAGCAGUGGGUGUGGGUGAUUCAUCUGUGUGUGUGUAAAUUUUACUGCUGUCCUUUCGUUUUAAGUCCCGACAAUAGGAUUGCGAUCAGCUGUAUUAUAUAUUUAAGGCUGUAUUUACACAAUUUGGAUUGAGGAUGAAUAUGUUAGCCACAGCUCAUUAAAGAAAGACCCAUGGAUUCGUCAUGGUUGGUCGCUUUUCAAAGUCUCUUGAUAGAGCAUCUGAAGAAUAAAAUGUGCAUAUUGGUGAGGCCAAGCUUAGUUUUUGAGCACUACAGCUCUGUGGCUUAGAAACUGGUUGGAAAAGUCCUUACCUGAUUCAAACUGCAGCUUGGCCAGCCCUCUUCAUUCACUUCACACAGCGCUUCACUCUGUUAGACCCUCACACCCUCUCAGUCUCUCUCUCACACACACACACACACAAACACACACCCCACUUGCCCCUUCAAAGACUAUGCCUUCUGUUUCUGACCUUUGGAUUUUCUCUCUGGGGAAAGACUGCCCCCUGCUGGCUUGCUUCAGGCUUGGUCCAGAGCCUCUCUCUUGAGCAAGAGUCUUGGAGAUGAAGAGUUUCAGAAUCCAGCUCACCGUGAUGUAUCCAAUCUAAGCUUAGGACCUGCGGUCUGGCCAGUCUUGAAUUUGGAAAUGGUGACACCAAAGCCCUCGGGGUCGGCCCCUCCAGGCAGAACAGCGUGCCCUUUUCCUGCCUGUCCUCAUCCUGCUCCCAGCCCACCACCUCUCUGGACCAGGCCAUCCAUCCUGUGACUGUCAUUUUAAACAGCCAUCAUUUCAGGCCAGCUUUGCUCAGACUUGCACCACAACAGAAUGUGCAAAAGAAAAAAAACGCAGACGAGACCAUGAACUAAAAACCCUAAACAGCUGAAAUCACCCCUCAACGUGCCUGCAGAUCACAGUGUAACACAGGAUUUUAUUGCCCAAAUAGGCAACUCAUGCUUCCCGAGUGUAACCAAAGCAUGUGGUGUUUCGGGGCCGUAUGCUCCGGGUUUCUAUUUUGGAAACUUUCAGCUGUCUUGCUUAUGUACCAUCUUUUUCCCCCAGAUCCUCAGGGUUCAUGCGACCUGAGUUGAAAAGAGGCGACAAAAAUAAACAGGAGGCUGUACAAUUCUCUACUGCUGUCAUGAUUCAGUCACGUGCAAAUGUUGGUGAGCAUCAUAGCAGCCACAGGUGUGAUGAACAGGAAGUAAGUGAACCGAAUCACGAGAACAGGAAGGAAGCAUAAGAAGCUCUUUAGUCCAUUUCCUUGCCUCCACAUGGGACCAUCCAGAGGCGUUGACAU